GGGUUGUGAGGUUAAGCGACUAAGCGUACACGGUGGAUGCCCUGGCAGUCAGAGGCGAUGAAGGACGUGCUAAUCUGCGAUAAGCGUCGGUAAGGUGAUAUGAACCGUUAUAACCGGCGAUUUCCGAAUGGGGAAACCCAGUGUGUUUCGACACACUAUCAUUAACUGAAUCCAUAGGUUAAUGAGGCGAACCGGGGGAACUGAAACAUCUAAGUACCCCGAGGAAAAGAAAUCAACCGAGAUUCCCCCAGUAGCGGCGAGCGAACGGGGAGCAGCCCAGAGCCUGAAUCAGUAUGUGUGUUAGUGGAAGCGUCUGGAAAGGCGCGCGAUACAGGGUGACAGCCCCGUACACAAAAAUGCACAUGCUGUGAGCUCGAUGAGUAGGGCGGGACACGUGGUAUCCUGUCUGAAUAUGGGGGGACCAUCCUCCAAGGCUAAAUACUCCUGACUGACCGAUAGUGAACCAGUACCGUGAGGGAAAGGCGAAAAGAACCCCGGCGAGGGGAGUGAAAAAGAACCUGAAACCGUGUACGUACAAGCAGUGGGAGCACGCUUAGGCGUGUGACUGCGUACCUUUUGUAUAAUGGGUCAGCGACUUAUAUUCUGUAGCAAGGUUAACCGAAUAGGGGAGCCGAAGGGAAACCGAGUCUUAACUGGGCGUUAAGUUGCAGGGUAUAGACCCGAAACCCGGUGAUCUAGCCAUGGGCAGGUUGAAGGUUGGGUAACACUAACUGGAGGACCGAACCGACUAAUGUUGAAAAAUUAGCGGAUGACUUGUGGCUGGGGGUGAAAGGCCAAUCAAACCGGGAGAUAGCUGGUUCUCCCCGAAAGCUAUUUAGGUAGCGCCUCGUGAAUUCAUCUCCGGGGGUAGAGCACUGUUUCGGCAAGGGGGUCAUCCCGACUUACCAACCCGAUGCAAACUGCGAAUACCGGAGAAUGUUAUCACGGGAGACACACGGCGGGUGCUAACGUCCGUCGUGAAGAGGGAAACAACCCAGACCGCCAGCUAAGGUCCCAAAGUCAUGGUUAAGUGGGAAACGAUGUGGGAAGGCCCAGACAGCCAGGAUGUUGGCUUAGAAGCAGCCAUCAUUUAAAGAAAGCGUAAUAGCUCACUGGUCGAGUCGGCCUGCGCGGAAGAUGUAACGGGGCUAAACCAUGCACCGAAGCUGCGGCAGCGACGCUUAUGCGUUGUUGGGUAGGGGAGCGUUCUGUAAGCCUGUGAAGGUGUGCUGUGAGGCAUGCUGGAGGUAUCAGAAGUGCGAAUGCUGACAUAAGUAACGAUAAAGCGGGUGAAAAGCCCGCUCGCCGGAAGACCAAGGGUUCCUGUCCAACGUUAAUCGGGGCAGGGUGAGUCGACCCCUAAGGCGAGGCCGAAAGGCGUAGUCGAUGGGAAACAGGUUAAUAUUCCUGUACUUGGUGUUANNNNNNNNNNNNNNNNNNNNAGGCUAUGUUGGCCGGGCGACGGUUGUCCCGGUUUAAGCGUGUAGGCUGGUUUUCCAGGCAAAUCCGGAAAAUCAAGGCUGAGGCGUGAUGACGAGGCACUACGGUGCUGAAGCAACAAAUGCCCUGCUUCCAGGAAAAGCCUCUAAGCAUCAGGUAACAUCAAAUCGUACCCCAAACCGACACAGGUGGUCAGGUAGAGAAUACCAAGGCGCUUGAGAGAACUCGGGUGAAGGAACUAGGCAAAAUGGUGCCGUAACUUCGGGAGAAGGCACGCUGAUAUGUAGGUGAAGUCCCUCGCGGAUGGAGCUGAAAUCAGUCGAAGAUACCAGCUGGCUGCAACUGUUUAUUAAAAACACAGCACUGUGCAAACACGAAAGUGGACGUAUACGGUGUGACGCCUGCCCGGUGCCGGAAGGUUAAUUGAUGGGGUUAGCGCNNNNNNNNNNNNNNNNNNNNNNNNNNNNNNNNNNNNNNNNNAACUAUAACGGUCCUAAGGUAGCGAAAUUCCUUGUCGGGUAAGUUCCGACCUGCACGAAUGGCGUAAUGAUGGCCAGGCUGUCUCCACCCGAGACUCAGUGAAAUUGAACUCGCUGUGAAGAUGCAGUGUACCCGCGGCAAGACGGAAAGACCCCGUGAACCUUUACUAUAGCUUGACACUGAACAUUGAGCCUUGAUGUGUAGGAUAGGUGGGAGGCUUUGAAGUGUGGACGCCAGUCUGCAUGGAGCCGACCUUGAAAUACCACCCUUUAAUGUUUGAUGUUCUAACGUUGACCCGUAAUCCGGGUUGCGGACAGUGUCUGGUGGGUAGUUUGACUGGGGCGGUCUCCUCCUAAAGAGUAACGGAGGAGCACGAAGGUUGGCUAAUCCUGGUCGGACAUCAGGAGGUUAGUGCAAUGGCAUAAGCCAGCUUGACUGCGAGCGUGACGGCGCGAGCAGGUGCGAAAGCAGGUCAUAGUGAUCCGGUGGUUCUGAAUGGAAGGGCCAUCGCUCAACGGAUAAAAGGUACUCCGGGGAUAACAGGCUGAUACCGCCCAAGAGUUCAUAUCGACGGCGGUGUUUGGCACCUCGAUGUCGGCUCAUCACAUCCUGGGGCUGAAGUAGGUCCCAAGGGUAUGGCUGUUCGCCAUUUAAAGUGGUACGCGAGCUGGGUUUAGAACGUCGUGAGACAGUUCGGUCCCUAUCUGCCGUGGGCGCUGGAGAACUGAGGGGGGCUGCUCCUAGUACGAGAGGACCGGAGUGGACGCAUCACUGGUGUUCGGGUUGUCAUGCCAAUGGCACUGCCCGGUAGCUAAAUGCGGAAGAGAUAAGUGCUGAAAGCAUCUAAGCACGAAACUUGCCCCGAGAUGAGUUCUCCCUGACUCCUUGAGAGUCCUGAAGGAACGUUGAAGACGACGACGUUGAUAGGCCGGGUGUGUAAGCGCAGCGAUGCGUUGAGCUAACCGGUACUAAUGAACCGUGAGGCUUAACCUUACAACGCCGAAGGUGUUU
rnacentral:rRNA from 1 species